rnacentral:rRNA from 1 species
GUAGGUGGCAAGCGUUGUCCGGGAAUUAUUGGGGCGUAAAGCGCGCGCAGGCGGUUCUUUAAGUCUGAUGUGAAAGCCCACGGGCUCAACCGUGGAGGGUCAUUGGAAACUGGAGAACUUGAGUACAGAAGAGGAAAGCGGAAUUCCACGUGUAGCGGUGAAAUGCGUAGAGAUGUGGAGGAACACCAGUGGCGAAGGCGGCUUUCUGGUCUGUAACUGACGCUGAGGCGCGAAAGCGUGGGGAGCAAACAGGAUUAGAUACCUGGUAGUGCACGCCGUAAACGAUGAGUGCUAAGUGUUAGGGGGUUUCCGCCCCUUAGUGCUGCAGCUAACGCAUUAAGCACUCCGCCUGGGGAGUACGGCCGCAAAGGCUG